AUUUAAAACAGCGCCAUCUGGGAAGGUGGGUGGCGGCGGUGCUGCGGGCGCCUUGGAGUUCCUUUGCAGCACGCUCGGAAUUGCAUCAGACUCAUCAGAAAUCCCCCCGCCCGGCGCCCCGCCUCGCCGUGGUCGCGCGUGGAUCCCACGGAGGCUGGGCCGGACCUGGGCCAUCUGCGCCCCGGCGCCGCGGCUGCUCCGUCACCGGCCCUGUGCGCUCUUUGUGUGCCGAGCAGCCUAUCACAGCCCGCCGAUCCCAGACCUGGGCUUUUAUUAUUAUUAUUGUUGUUGUUAUUUUCCCUUUCUACAUCUCCAAGCUCUCCGGGCGUAUCCGCGCGUAUCUCAUUUCCACCUGCGCACACUCGGGGGAUCUUUCUCAGCCUGCGCUCGCACCCUCCUCUCCAGUCUGGAGUUUCGGAAAUGGGUUUUCCCUUCCUUGCUCGCUCCCCAAUCCCCACCCACCCCGAGCCCCGGCCUUUCCCUGGAGCCAGGCUGAGCCAGGAAGAAGUCCAGAUCCACCCAUCCCCCGGGCUCCGCAGCCGGAACAAAGGGCCCCAACAGGGUGGGGUGCGUCUGUGGGAGCGCGCGGCGAUGCUGGAAGGUAAUGUGUGUCGCUUGAAGUCAUCAUGUGAGAACUUCGGCUUUGCUCAGUGAUCGCCCACCACUUCUAUGACUUAUGAAUCUAAUAAACCGUGGCAAUAUCCGCAAGCUUAAACUCUCAACCACCUUGGCGACUACAGAAGACAAAGCAUCGAGGUGGAAAAACCUAUAGGUUUACGCAAACGUCCUCGCGGCGCGAGAGAGGCACGGUUUCCCGUGAGUUCUUACGUGAUUCUAAUGAAUGAGCCGGUUUCCCAGGGCCUGCCCAGUGCCCGGCUACGGAGCGGGCUUCCCGAUGCUGCGUGCUCGCCGCCCAGAAAGUUCCCAGACGAAGCGAGGAUUUGCAGGGGACCCCCCUCCCCUUAAAAAUAACCCAGGCUGCGCACCGCUCCCGGCCCCCUCGAUCGGUUCACACCUGGGGCUCUGGCCAAGGUGGGCUCUGCCGCAGAGCUGCCCCCGUCGCCAGGCGAUGGGAGGAGAGGCAAAGAAUCACGAUGCACAAUUUGGAAAGCUUUCUGAACAUAAGAAUAGGCAAUGAUUGCCAAGAACCUGGUGUUGAGCUCAUAUUUAAAAAGAACUCAAGGAAUCUUCCAUCUACCAAACCUAGUUUAGUUAAAAAGGAACUGAUACAAGCAUCGAAAAGAAGCAGGUGGGAGAAAGGCUUGGGACACACAAUUUAGUUUGCGAGAACUUCUGUGCAUUCCUGGGCUGAGGAACCGAGAAAAACAUCUGACUGUGGCUUAACUCAGUUUCAGAAAACCAGAUAGCCCACAAUGAGGCUGAAGAAGACCACAUGCGAUACUGAGGAAGAAUUUCUCCUACGCCACCUUCCAGCCAGAAUGUGAAUGAGAGGAAGAAAGGCAGGCAAGAAAGGGAGAAGUGACACUGUUAAUAUAAAAGUAAGUAGGAGACUGAGACAGGUUAAGAAUCCAUCAGGCCAAGGCUUGAAAAAUGUGUUUCAUGGAGGAUCGAGUUAGGAACCGGACAAAAGCGGAGAUCAGAUCUUCAGGGAGUCUCCAACCUCAGACUCACAGAAAGGCAAGUGAAAACCAGUGAGAGGGCCAGAAAUUCACUGGUGCACUGGAGUCCAGCAGGUUAUGCUUGGGACCUGGCCUGUCUAGGACAUCUGGUGGGAGACUCACAGUGCUCAACUGUCCUUGUCAUUUAAUGUGCACAUGGAUCUCUAGGUCACUUGGUAAAAAGCAGAUGCAGAGUGCGGGGUAGGAAGCUAGGAAGCAAGAUCUGGUAUUUUCAACAGCUUCCCAGGUGGAGGGGAUGUACUAUAUCCGCACAGCCAAGAGAAGCCCGCUAUGCUUUCAUCUGUUUGGUGGUUUUAUGGACAAGUCUCUAAUUUCUUUAGUAAACAAAUGAAUACAACAACAAGGAAAAGACUUGUUCACUUAGUCCUAAUGUUAUACAAACUCCUAACUCUAACCAGCUCCUGAACCUAUUAAUUCUAGAGCACAGUGAACAUCAGCCUCUAAUUAUCAAUAACUUGGCUAUCAUUUGAUUCUUUGUCCCUUGGAAUGUUUUGGAAUGGGAGAAAAAAAGAAUCAGCUUGGGAUAUGCCGAACAUAAAGCCAGAGGAAGUAGAGAAAAUUAUUCUAGUCAUGUAAGGAGGCUUGGUUAGGUCAUAUUAUGAGUCCUGAGCUCAUUCUGGGUUUCUUGCUAUAAAUAGGAUAUUUUGGAACCAGAGAAGGCACAGCAGAAGGCAACCAGAAUGACAGAGGGAUUUGGGGAAUUUGCUUCUGCUGAAAGGUUAGAGAAACUAGGUCUGCUUUCUUUUGUAAGGAGAGAAGAGAUGGUACCUCGCUGAGGUGAUAUCAUCCCAAAACUAGUGGAAGUAAUCGGAUGCGACAAGGGAGCCUUCUGGAGACAAGAGUCCAAGGGUGCUGGCAGGGAACGAAGACCAGAGCAGGGGUGGCAGCUUUGCUAAAGGCCUUCGGUGAGUGGUGCUCCUCCUGGCAAAGUGCCACUGCUUGAGGAAGGAGCAGAAAGCAGAGGAUUGAGACCAGGAAAUCAGUGAGAGGUGGCAAAGGAGGAGGUGGCUCUUCCUUCAUUGAGAACGCUUUCAGGAGGCCGUUAGUAACCCUCCAGGAGCCCUGAGUUCGCAGCAUCUGGUGAGCCCUGCAUAUGCGCCAGGCCCGAGGGCCCUGCUCCUGUAACACAACACAUCACAUUUCUGCCACCACUUCCUGUCAAAAGGCAUGGUUUUUCCAAUGAAAAAAUCAACUUAGCAAAGAAAUGUAAAUAGUUACAAUAUGCAAGCUCUUUCUCUAAGUUACUCUCCCCUUUGCAGCAGUCCUGGGAAACAUCCUCUGUUUCAGCUGGCCGUUAUUUUGCCCGUGUGGCCUGAGCAUUUGCAUUGGAUUUGUGAAGUUCAGAGCAACAGGACUGGCAGAGCAUCUGCAUCAUUUCACAGCAAGAGGAUAUGCAGCCUGGAGAGCUGCUUAUCAUUCCGUUUUGUCUACCUGGUAUUGAGGUACCUGAGAUUUUCAGUAACUUUGGAAAUUCUCCAGUGAUCGCUCGGGAAAGUGUCAGUUAAACCGUGUGUGAGUUCAGGACUCAAAUCCUCUGUCAAGACUUGGUGUCAGCUCUGCAUCUUUCCGGUAAGAGAACUUUGAGGAUAGUACUCCCACUUAGCUGCUUCUGGUGGCCUCAGGCUCCCAUGAGUGGCCCAUAACUCAGGGAGCAGCUCCCUCCAGCACCCCCAGAGGGGUGUGUGAGAAUCUCACAGGUGUGCUAUUGCUCUAGUGCUCCCCUUCUGCACGGCAGGGAUUACACCAUCCUACUUGUAACUCUGCCUCCUCUGCUUCUGCCCACAUGUUGACUUGAGAAAUCAGGAGGAAGGACUAUUCCAGGAGGAAAAGCUCACCUCUGGCAGUGCCCAAGGUAAUGUCUUAGCUAGUUACUGCUGCGUAACAAAUCGCUCCAAAACUCAGUAGCUUCAAUAAAAGUAAACAUUAAAGAAUAAGCAUUCAUUAGGCCCAGGUUUUUGAGGCCUGCAAACUCUGAGUGAGUGUAGCUUAGCAGUUCUGGCUCAGAAGAGAAGGAUUGUCCUUUUAUGAUGUGGAGGUUAGGGUUAAGCCAGCUCGAAGUCCUCUGCUGACUCAACCAGCUUUUGGCAAGCCUGGAAAAGAAGCAUGUGGGUUUGGGGUGCAGGUAGGAAUUUACUACAAGUGUCAGUGAGAGAUGGAAGAGCCUCACAGUUAGAAAAAUGAGUGGACAUGAGAUAUAUUUUGAAGAUAUAUCAAAAGGCCUUGGUGAUUGAUUGGUUUGUGAAGGAUGAGGAAGAGGGAGUGACCAAGUGCAUGUCUGAGGAAGUUUCAUGCAUGAUAAGAUGGAAGAGAAAUCAGAUUUAUGGUGUAGGUGAGGGACUUGAGGGAUGAAGUCUAGUGUUCUUAAAUCCCUCCGCUGUACCGGGACGCAGGUUUAAAGAAUAGCUACCAUCUACUGGGCAGUGCAGAUACUAUACCUAGGCACAUUACUUAUUUCUUCUAUUCGGUCCUCUUACCGAUGGGACUGUUAUAAGUUAGGCAUGGAGGGGCUGACUAACUUUCCCAGGGUGGCACAGCUUGUAAGUGGUACAGUAAUAACCAAAACUCAAGAUUUUCAUAUUCCAGAGUCUGUGCUUUUGAAUACUAGAGGAUGUUUACCUUUCUUGCUUACCCGCUUCCUUAACACAUACUCUGUUGGUUUUCAUUGCGUUAGAGUAUUCAGACAAGCCAGUUUCACUUAAUGACAUGGCCUCCUCCUCUCCCCGCACUGUGAAGCUGAGUAUCGUUUUAUUAGGUGAACUGGAAUGAAACUGCUUUCUUUAUCUCUGGAAAGACUUAUUUGUUGAACUCAGACAAUAUGGAGACCUAAACUGGGCAGCAAGCAGAGCCUGGAGAACAGUGAACACCCCUGUCCUGCAUUCCCAGGAGGCCUAAACUGUUUCGGGAACCAGUCCUUCCCCCCUCCAUCCAAGAGGAGGCCCAGACACAAAGGAAGCCUGUUCCUUUCAGAGGUGUGGGUUAUUCUUGAAACCCAAGAGCAACAAAUCAAAGAUGGGGUACACCCCGCAAAUUAGGGGGCACUAAUGUGAUGACUCAGAGUCCCAGAAUGGGACUGAGUUUGCAAAUUACUGUGGAGAUGUUCCCAAAAUCUUGACAGAUCUAUGUUAAGGCAGAAACAAGGACAUCAUAUUCUUCAAUAUUACUGUGAUUCAGAGUCUAAAUAUUGACCUAAACAUUAGAAAUGUGAGCUAAGAAACGGGAAAAGGAAUGAGCAGGCCAGGGAACUGGGGUUGUCAAGAGGCCCCUGAACCUGGUGGCUUUAGUGAAGACAGUGGUGAAAGACAGAGAUUUCAGAAGGAAAAGGAAAUCUCUAGCUCGCCUCCUUCAAGGACCUGCAUCUCAUUACCAAGGCCUCCUGCACUGGAAGGAACCUUGGCUGGCACCGGAGAGAGAGUUCUCAUUUCAAUUCCUCAAGGGUUGGCUUGUCUGACCUUGGUGACCAUGUUCUCUCUCUGGGCCUCAGUGUCUCUGCUUCCAUACAGAUGCUCAGUUGGACAUUUAUCAUGCUCCGAUGUCAAUUUUUGUGAGAUUUCCCUCUGCAGGGUCAGUACUAGAAUGGGCUUGUGUCCACUCUAAUGCUAUUAUCAAGAAGUGGGGUCCACAUGCGUCUGCUCCAAAUCCAAGUGUCUCUGUAAGUAUGAUCACCAACAGAAUACAUGCAAGUGUUACCAUGGCUGUCUUUGGGCCUUAGGGAACUUCUGGGCUGUCUUUUGGGCCUUUGGGCCUUAGGGAACUUUUAGGGUCCUCUCCUUUCCUCAUGGAGCACUUGCUUGUUCUUGGAGCACUGGUGCAGUCUGUAAGAAGUCCAGUUAUCUCUCAGCCAUGGGAAGCUACAUACAGGGGAGGAGGAGGAAUCAGUGGAGCUGGCCCUGUGGUUUGCCCUGCUGAGAUCGCCACCUGGGAGUAAAGCUAUCAUGGACCCUGCAGACCAGACUAGCCACCAGUUAAUGCUACUUUGAGCAAAAGAAUCAUCUACACAAGACUGCCUGAAUCCCGAUCCCACGAAAGCAUCAGGUAGAAUAUGGUUGUAGAUAUCAGCCACUAACUUCUGGAGUACUUGCUACAGUGAUGCAAUGAACAUUUGUAAAUGGUUUCCUGGAUGCUGGGGCUAUACCAAUUUGAUAUAGGUACGUUUUUGCCAGGUCUUGUUUGGUGCCCCAUGAGGCUGUAAAGUGCAGUUCUGAAGGGAUUGGGUUUGGGACUGAGAUUUGGAUUCUGGUGAGUUCUGUGAUUAACUACUCACCUGUUUUAUUUCAGACAAUUUAGUUGAUAUUUGAGCCUCCUUGUCCUCAUCAGUGAAGCUACACCUGCUGUGUGAGUUUUGUGAGCACUCAGUGUGGUCAUCAGGAAUCACAGUAUAAGGCAGGCAGUGGACAGAAGUUACCAGUUCUGCAGCAGUGUUGCUACAGCUGCUGGCUGUGGAAAGGAGUCAAGGACCCCUCCUACGGCUGCCAAGGGGUUGGAAGAAUUGUUCUUUCAAAUAGCAGCUCUUGGACUGUAGCAGGGCCAACAUCUCCAUUGGCUUCUUUACACCGUGGCAUUUUGGUCUGAGGAUUUAGAAUACUCACAUUUCCAGUUACACUUGGCAAGAUCAGUCCAUGCAAAGACACUGCAAACUGGAAGCAGCAUAUAGAAGUGGAAAGAAUGUAAUGAAUUUUAGAAUUAGGUCUGGGUGUAAAUGGCCCAAGGUAAAAAAUAAAACACGGUAUGGACCAGGGGUUAAAGUGCAUUUUUGGCACAUUGACAGAGACCCAAGAAGAAAAGGGCUUCAUUUCCAAGGCCCUGGCAGUUUGGUGUGAUUUCUCUUCCCAAAUAAAUAUUGGCUUUUGGACUCAACGUUAUAUGGAUAACUGUGUUUUAAAGAUAGUCCCCUCAAUUGUAAGUACCCUCACCAUGCCUACUCUGCCCUUGCUCCAAAGCCAAAACUCAAGAGAACCCCAAAAAUGAAUUUGAAGGAAGAUCAAAAUGAAGGUUUGGGUCUGAGAAACGGCAGCACAGGGAGACCUAGAUUAGGAUGGGAAGCCCAAGGGGAAGUGAUGGUGAGGGUUCAGAAGCCCAGGAAGCAGACUUCACCCCAAGGUCUCUUCCAGAUUCCUUUAAGGAAGGGAUUCCUCCCUUUUGGCAGAUCCCCUGGCCCUGCCAUGGUCUCUGCUACAGUGUGAAUCUGGAUUCUCUUCAAAUCCAGGUGUCAAAGUCUUGGACCUCACCUUGGUGCUUUUGGGAGGCAAUGGAACCUUUAUUAGUGAGGUCCAGUGAGAGGACUUGGGGUCACUGGAAAUGUAGUUGUCAGAGAAUUGUUGGACCUUGGUCUCUUCCUCUUUCUCUUCUACUUCCCAGCCAUGAAUCAAGUAGAUUUGCAUUGCCACAUAUGCCUGCCAUGAUGUGUGGCCACAGGUGACAGAAAUCCAUGGACUGAACCCUUGGAAACCAUGUACCACAACAUACUCUUCUGCUUGUAAGUGAUCUCAGGUAUUUGUCGUAGUGAGAGAAGACUGGCUGACACACUGACCACCUUCAGAUAGGAUUCCUGUAUCUACAGCAGUCCCUCUAGCUAGAGUAACAGCUCUUCAGAAGCAGAAACCAAGCCUCUAUCUUGGUUGACUUCUGACCCACAACAGGAGCUAGUACUUGGUGUAUUAAGUUGAAUCAAGGAACUUGUGGGCCAAGAAUACAAAAGGGAAAACAAAGAACAGAGUUUCCAGCUCAUUUGUUUGUUGUGUGAUAUUUUCUAGGUCUCAGUUUCCUUCCUUGAAAUGAAAGUUAGUUCUCUUCGUCUCUGGGAAGCAAACUCUGAACCUAAAAGAGGAGAGCUAAUUAAAAAGGGGUCAUUAACAAGGCUUGUGGCAUUGUCGAACACCAGCCUGACCACGUUCCAGCAGGGAUAACUGCAUUCUGACAACUUCGAGUUCCCCGCACACCUCAACUGGAUAUGGUAAGCUUUGCUUCCUGUCCCAAAUGAUUCUGAAAGACUGUCCAUGGCUGUUAAACAGAGGUGUCACCCCCUUUGUAAGCCAUUGUGAUUUUUCUUUUAAUGGGCUAUGUACUUUUGCUGAGGUUUAAUCAUAAUUUUGACUCCUGAAGACAGCAGAAGAUUUCAGGUGCUUCCCCUGGAAAGAAGGCUGCUCGGGCACAGCCCGUGGGAGCUCUUCUAGAACCUUAUGGUUUGCCUUCCAGUCUAAAAGCAGCCACUCUGCAUGAAAGAAACACUCUGUGGAAGAGAGUGAUUGCUGCGUUUGAGGGAGGAGCAGGAAAUGAGAUCAGAAUCGGAACUCCCCUCCUACAGAGGCACAGCCUUGGUUGUGGAGACGGCUGGGGGCCACAUGUCAGAGCACAGAUUCCAGAAGCUCAUUCCUUUGAGACUCAAACAUUCCCAAAGAGACCCAAUGUGCCCUUCCAUCUAAUAAAGCAAGGGGAUACUCGGGAAUUACUGAUGUGAUCAUGAGUACAUUUCUUUAUUCCUGCCUUUCUCAUGGAAUGCUGUAACUGAAGAGCUACUGUACUGUAUCUUGGCCUCUUAUUCAAUUCCUGCAAGAACCUUCUGUAAAAUCAUUUGUUUAAUAUUAAGGAGGUAAUUUAACCCAUUUUAUGAGACUUUAUUUUAUUAGAAGCAGCUAUAAUAGCUCUGCAUCUCAUCAUCUUUCUCUGGUUACAAUAAUAAUAUCCUUAUCCUCAUA